rnacentral:rRNA from 1 species
CAAACGACUCUCGGCAACGGAUAUCUCGGCUCUUGCAUCGAUGAAGAACGUAGCGAAAUGCGAUACUUGGUGUGAAUUGCAGAAUCCCGUGAACCAUCGAGUCUUUGAACGCAAGUUGCGCCCGGGGCCAUUAGGUCUAGGGCACGUCUGCCUGGGCGUCACAC